rnacentral:rRNA from 1 species
UAAUUUUUAUGGAGAGUUUGAUCCUGGCUCAGGAUGAACGCUGGCGGCGUGCCUAAUACAUGCAAGUCGAGCGAACGGACGAGAAGCUUGCUUCUCUGAUGUUAGCGGCGGACGGGUGAGUAACACGUGGAUAACCUACCUAUAAGACUGGGAUAACUUCGGGAAACCGGAGCUAAUACCGGAUAAUAUUUUGAACCGCAUGGUUCAAAAGUGAAAGACGGUCUUGCUGUCACUUAUAGAUGGAUCCGCGCUGCAUUAGCUAGUUGGUAAGGUAACGGCUUACCAAGGCAACGAUGCAUAGCCGACCUGAGAGGGUGAUCGGCCACACUGGAACUGAGACACGGUCCAGACUCCUACGGGAGGCAGCAGUAGGGAAUCUUCCGCAAUGGGCGAAAGCCUGACGGAGCAACGCCGCGUGAGUGAUGAAGGUCUUCGGAUCGUAAAACUCUGUUAUUAGGGAAGAACAUAUGUGUAAGUAACUGUGCACAUCUUGACGGUACCUAAUCAGAAAGCCACGGCUAACUACGUGCCAGCAGCCGCGGUAAUACGUAGGUGGCAAGCGUUAUCCGGAAUUAUUGGGCGUAAAGCGCGCGUAGGCGGUUUUUUAAGUCUGAUGUGAAAGCCCACGGCUCAACCGUGGAGGGUCAUUGGAAACUGGAAAACUUGAGUGCAGAAGAGGAAAGUGGAAUUCCAUGUGUAGCGGUGAAAUGCGCAGAGAUAUGGAGGAACACCAGUGGCGAAGGCGACUUUCUGGUCUGUAACUGACGCUGAUGUGCGAAAGCGUGGGGAUCAAACAGGAUUAGAUACCCUGGUAGUCCACGCCGUAAACGAUGAGUGCUAAGUGUUAGGGGGUUUCCGCCCCUUAGUGCUGCAGCUAACGCAUUAAGCACUCCGCCUGGGGAGUACGACCGCAAGGUUGAAACUCAAAGGAAUUGACGGGGACCCGCACAAGCGGUGGAGCAUGUGGUUUAAUUCGAAGCAACGCGAAGAACCUUACCAAAUCUUGACAUCCUUUGACAACUCUAGAGAUAGAGCUUUCCCCUUCGGGGGACAAAGUGACAGGUGGUGCAUGGUUGUCGUCAGCUCGUGUCGUGAGAUGUUGGGUUAAGUCCCGCAACGAGCGCAACCCUUAAGCUUAGUUGCCAUCAUUAAGUUGGGCACUCUAAGUUGACUGCCGGUGACAAACCGGAGGAAGGUGGGGAUGACGUCAAAUCAUCAUGCCCCUUAUGAUUUGGGCUACACACGUGCUACAAUGGACAAUACAAAGGGCAGCGAAACCGCGAGGUCAAGCAAAUCCCAUAAAGUUGUUCUCAGUUCGGAUUGUAGUCUGCAACUCGACUACAUGAAGCUGGAAUCGCUAGUAAUCGUAGAUCAGCAUGCUACGGUGAAUACGUUCCCGGGUCUUGUACACACCGCCCGUCACACCACGAGAGUUUGUAACACCCGAAGCCGGUGGAGUAACCUUUUAGGAGCUAGCCGUCGAAGGUGGGACAAAUGAUUGGGGUGAAGUCGUAACAAGGUAGCCGUAUCGGAAGGUGCGGCUGGAUCACCUCCUUUCUAAG